rnacentral:lncRNA from 1 species
AUGUCCAGCAAAGAAGACAAAGUGAAAAGUGAGUCCAGUAUAAUACGUUUUGAAAGAAAAAGUACCACUACUGAGUCUGCCACAAGAGGAAAUGACAGAAGAAGUACUGAGUCUGCCACAAGAGGAAACAGAAGAAGUACUGAGUCUGCCACCAGAGGAAAUGACAGAAGAAGUACUGAUUCUGCCACAAGAGGAAACAGAAGAAGUACUGAGUCUGCCACAAGAGGAAACGACAGAAGAAGAACUGAUUCUGCCACAAGAGGAAACGACAGAAGAAGUACUGAUUCUGCCACAAGAGGAAACGACAGAAGAAGUACUGGGUCUGCCACAAGAGGAAAUGACAGAAGAAGUACUGAUGAGUCUGCCACAAGAGGGAAUGACAGAAGAAAUACUGAUUCUGCCACAAGAGGAAACGACAGAAGAAGUACUGGGUCUGCCACAAGAGGAAACAGAAGAAGUACUGAGUCUGCCACAAGAGGAAAUGACAGAAGAAGUACUGAGUCUGCCACAAGAGGAAAUGACAGAAGAAGUACUGGGUCUGCCACAAGAGGAAAUGACAGAAGAAGUACUGAGUCUGCCACAAGAGGAAAUGACAGAAGUACUGAGUCUGCCACAAGAGGAAAUGACAGGAGGAGUACUGAGUCUGCCACAAGAGAUGACAGAAGAUCACCAAGCACAGGGAAAGAAAAAAGGAACACGAAACGGAGCCACAGUAGAUCAUCUUCCUCAUCCAGCUCAUCAUCAUCAUCCUCCUCGUCAUCCUCCUCAUCCUCAUCCCACUCUUCAUCCCACAGUAGGAGAUGUUCCAGCAGUAGUGGUGAGUGUGCCAGUACUUGUCCCGUAAUUGUAAAGACGCGCAUGUACAGUGCAUUGGGAAAGUUUUCAGACCCGUUCACUUUUUCCACAUUUUGUUACGUUACAGCCUUAUUCUAAAAUUGAUGAAAGUAAAAAACAAUUUAAUCAAUCUACACACAGUGUCCCAUAAUGACAAAGCAAAAAUGUUUUUUUAUACAUUUUCGCAAGUGAAUUUAAAAUAUAUCACAUUUACAUAAGUAUUCAGACCCUUUUCAGUACUUUGUUGAAGCGACUUGAAGCGAUUACAGCCUCGAGUCUUCUUGGGUAUGACGCUACAAGCUUGGCACACCUGUAUUUGGGGAGUUUCUCCAAUUAUUCUCUGCAGAUCCUCUCAAGCUCUGUCAAGUUGGAUGGGGAGCAUCGCUGCAGAGCUAUUUUCGAUCGGGUUCAAGUCCAAGCUCUGGCUGGGCCACUCAAGGACAUUGAAACUUGUCCCAAAGCCACUCCUGCAUUCUCGCUGUAUGCUUAGGAUCGUUGUCCUGUUGGAAGGUGAAUCUUCACCCUGUCUGAGGUCCUGAGUGCUCUGGAACAGGUUUUCAUCAAGGAUCUCUCUGUAUUUUGCUCUGUUUAUCUUUCCCUUGAUGCUGACUAAUCUCCCAGUCCCUGACACUUUGUCAUUAUGGGGUAUUGUGUGAUUGAUGAGGAUUCUUUAUUUAUUUAAUCCAUAUUAGAAUAAGGCUGUAACGUAGAAAAAGUGAAGGCGUCUGAAUACUUUCUGAAUGCACUGUAUCAGAAAGAUGACCAUAUUAUUUCAGGGCUCUACAGUCACAUGUGCUCCUAAAUUGAAAAAUGUAGCAGCCCACAAAGAAAUUCAGGAGCACAAUGAAAAAUAUUUGAGGUAUUAAUGAAAAUAAUUGCCAGCAAUUACAAAAUACAGGGUUUCGGAGCACAAGCAAAUAGAUUUUUAAGAUUGAGAUGUAGGCUACAUUGUGCCGAUAUGAAUCCUAGCUACUUUUGAAGCACAUCUCCUGAAGAAGCUCUCCCCUGUCCUUUCCUUCUGUGCUACCACGUUUGUAUUCUUCUGAGGCUGUGGAACAGUGAAGAAAUCAUUACAACAAUUAUUAACAGGGUGAUUUUUUUAUUUUUUCAUCUAGGGGCACUGGUGCUCCCAAAUAAACAUUUCAGGUAGAACAACAAAAUAUUUAGGAGCGUAUGCCCCCAAAAUGGUAGUACUGUAGAGCCCUGUAUAUGUAUAGCUAAUAGUCAAAGCCUGAAGGACUGUGUUUCAGUUAGAUUUUGCUUUCUCCUGUCUAGAUUCCCACAACAAAUCCAGAAGGAAUUCUAAGAAAAGGAAAAAGGAAAAACAACACAAGAAGGUAUUUUUCUUCAAAUAUUCUGUUUUCAGUAUUUAUUUUGAUAAAGGUGUGGUUUGUGACUUAUGUCGUUUUUUUUAUAGAAAGGGAAAAAGGAGAAGAAGCAUAAACAAAAGAAGGACAAGAAAAUGACACCAGAGGAGGAAAGCGCUGGACCUGGACCUAUUCAGAUCUCCAAGGUAGAAUACAUUUAUGGGACUAUUUAUCCUUAACCAAGUUAGCUACAUCCAUACCAGUGGUUUGAAGCUUUCUGAAAGCUGUCAUUUUGAAAUGAAAUAUCUAUCUUUCAGUAUUUAAAGGAGAGGAGGAGAAAAGGCAAGUACAGCAUGAUCACAGGAAAGAAGAUCAAAAUGAAAUUAAAGAAGUCCAAGAAAGACAAGCUGGUGUGUAUGAGUGUGAUACAUAAAGGUUUUUACUUACAGUGGUUAUGAAAAGUGAGGGUUAUUUUACCUACCAUAGUUGAAAGCACUGAUUGUAAGUCUCUCUAAAAUGUAAACGUGUGCAUACUACACAUUGUUUCAACAGAGGGACAAGAAUCGCGCCGAACUGCUUGAGUUCCUCAACUCCACGUUGUAAUGCAAAGGGCCGUCACCGUUGGUUAUGUUCCAGAAACUUCCAAUUUUUGUCCAGAACAGAACUCAGGGAAUGACGACCAUUUUGAUGAAGCUCUGAACUAAUAUCCAUUUACAGGGUUAUUAUUAUCACUGCAAGAGAUGUGGGACAUGGCCUGUAAUCUCAAAAUGACAGAAUGUGCCAUGUCUCUCUUUUAGAAAAAGCGUGUUGUCACUCCUGUGGUUGUCAGCCCCUUUCUUCAGACCAGUGGAGACUGCUGAAGGAGAACGGCUCAUAAUAAUGGCUGGAACGGAGCCAAUGGAAUGGCAUCAAACCAUGUGUAUUCGAUGCCAUUCCACCAAUUCCGCUCCAGCCAUUACCACAAGCCCGUCCUCCCCAAUUAAGGUGCCACCAACCUCCUGUGCUUCACACUGUUUGUAACUGAUUUCUGUGUGUUUGGUCUUUAGAAUUGUAAUUUUACUAUAACAUCAAAGGAGCCAGUCACUGACUUUUUAUCAGUAUGUUUGCUGCACAAGGUGUUGCUAAGCAAGUUAGAACAGUGUUGCUGUGGUGGAGACUACAGAUCAGCAAAGAUCUGAGUGAUGAACAACAUAUCUGGGUUCAAAUAGUAUUGGUUUUCUUUUAAGUACUUCAGUUGAUUAAGCUUGCCCGGCACAAUGGAACAAAGGAAAAGUGCCAACCCAUCCAUCUUACACGCCAGCAGGCUCAAGAGCUUAAAGUAUUUGAAAGCAAAUACUAUUUGAACCCAGGUCUGAUGAACAAAGAGAUUUGGGUACAUUUUAUUGUAACGUAAUCUGUCAAAUAGAACACCAGUCCGGCAUUGCAUUGUGUUUGAUGAUGAUCUAUGUUUUUCUAGUUAUUUUAAGAAGGUCCAAAACAGUCCUGCAGCUAAACUCGGGUCCCCUGGAAUGUAGUUAUUGUUAGAUAUAUUGAUUAUCAGAGAAUAAUGUAUAGUAUGUACAAAUCUGAGACUGGAAGCUGGAUGUCAUCACAUGUAAUACUAUAAAUCAAUAUUAUUUUGGAUGAGCUUUUUAUAUUUUGUGAAGCCCACUUGAUGUGGCAAACUGCUUACAGUCCACCCAAUAAAACAGCUCUUCUCUCAACAGCAAUAAACUGCUGCUGUUAUAGAGAUUCUUUACAAUAGUCAUCUGAAAUGUUACAGUACAAUCAAGCAUUCAUUCCCAUUGUGUAUGAAUUAUUGCUGCCAUUGUGUGCCUCUUAUGAGACACAGUUUGUCCUGUAUCCAGGCUUUGUCAGUCUUAUUGGACAAGGCAAAUAGCCCAGGCACCUCAACCUUGGUUGCUGAGCAAUAAAACGGUGCCUUUGUGCUUACCGCCUAGCUUUUUUCAUGCUUACCCCAUAGCUUAGAUGUGGAUUUCUAUGCUUUUUGCUGUAAGAAAGUGAUUUGAAAUAUUUGGCAUUUCAAAUAUUUGCACAGCAAUUGUAUUUUGCUGAUAAGUCAAUAGCAAUAAAGUAAGACCGACAACACAAAGAGAUCAAGAUGCACUGUAUUCCAACUGUAAAGAGUUUGAACGAAGAUUGAUAUAAUCUACAAUGUCAUGGUAACCACUCCAAUAGAGCAGUCAGUUUACUGUUGAUUUUUCAAGUUAUAAAAAGGUCACUAAAAAGCCAUGAUAAGCAGCACUUCCCUUUACAGUGCCAAAAAAAUGCUUGAGAAAAAAACAGAACUUGUUGAUUGUUUCAUGUAUAAGUCUCAUUGGUUAACUACAAUUUAAAUACAUGUAGCUCCGGAGUAUUAUGUUGUUAUAAUGAAAAAAAAGCACAGUAAAAGGAAGUGCAUGCAACACAUCUCAAAACAUUGUGAAAUAUCCUUAGCAUAGCUCCCCGUAUCAAAUUCAUAAGUCAAAAGCUUUCAAUAGUGGAUGACCCCACACUGCCGAAGGAGAGGAUGGGAGAGGCAUGUCUCCUAUUUCUCCCCAUUCUUGUUCAAAGCAGACUGGGCAGGUUCCAGGGGUUUAUUAUAGGCUACCUCUCACUAGCGUUGCUCUAUCCUCCACUGAACCACAAUA